rnacentral:rRNA from 1 species
CACGUAGGGGGGCGAGCGUUUGUCCGGAUUUAUUGGGCGUAAAGAGCUCGUAGGCGGCUCGGUAAGUCGGGUGUGAAACCUCCAGGCUCAACCUGGAGACGCCACCUGAUACUGCUGUGGCUAGAGUCCGGUAGGGGAGUGUGGAACUCCUGGUGUAGCGGUGAAAUGCGCAGAUAUCAGGAAGAACACCAGCGGCGAAGGCGGGGUCUCUGGGGCAUUAACUGACGCUGAGGAGCGAAAAGCAUUGGGGGAGCGAACAGG